AUCCCCCUAGUAUAAAUAGUAUACGUGACUUCCAAUCACACAGCCUUGGUUCGAACCCAAGGGAGGAUA
rnacentral:tRNA from 1 species